AAUGAACGCUGGCGGCAUGCCUUACACAUGCAAGUCGAACGGCAGCAUGACCUAGCUUGCUAGGUUGAUGGCGAGUGGCGCACGGGUGAGUAAUGCAUCGGAACGUGCCUUUUAGUGGGGGAUAACGUAGCGAAAGUUACGCUAAUACCGCAUAUUCUCUGAGGAGGAAAGCAGGGGACCUUCGGGCCUUGCGCUAGAAGAGCGGCCGAUGUCGGAUUAGCUAGUUGGUGAGGUAAAGGCUCACCAAGGCAACGAUCCGUAGCGGGUCUGAGAGGAUGAUACGCCCCACUGGGACUGAGACACGGCCCAGACUACUACGGGAGGCAGCAGUGGGGAAUUUUGGACAAUGGGCGCAAGCCUGAUCCAGCCAUGCCGCGUGAGUGAAGAAGGCCUUCGGGUUGUAAAGCUCUUUCGGCUGGGAAGAAAUCGCACCCUCUAAUACAGGGUGUGGAUGACGGUACCAGCAAAAGAAGCACCGGCUAACUACGUG
rnacentral:rRNA from 1 species